CGUGCGGUGGGUCGCAGUGCAGCCGGGGCUAUAGGUUCCAGGGGACAAAAUAAGGGAAGAAGACAUCGCUCUGCCCUUUUAUCACACUUGCAAGCCAUAUAUGGCAUGAAAUGUUGCAGGACUUACCCCGAAAAGAUUAUAGUUAAGCACACACUCCCUUUUGUGUCUAAACUCGGCAUAUUAGAAUCUAACGUAAGCAAUAUAACCUACGGAACAAUAUUCAAAUAAACUUACUAGUAGCUUUCUUACACUCCGUGUUUUAUUAAUAUACUUUCAAAUUAUUUUUCAUGUCUAUAGAGUUCUCAGUUGAAAAGCAAAAUCAGUUCUAAUAUCCUGACUCCUAUUGCAUAUGCAAAGAUUGGACGGUUAAUUUGCUUGUACAUGCAGGUGUAAACGGAGCUCCUUUCAAAACAACUUGGCAAGACUACAAUGGUUGUGUAACCAAUCAUUAGGAGGCAAUUCCACGCUAUGACAAACACCAUAGUAUUUGUCAUGUUACUGCCUAUAUAACAAAGCUGAACAACCAUUACAUUUCUACGUAUACUACUGUGAGGAGAAUGCUGUCUGCCUUGCUAAAAAUAAAGCAAAGCAAAUUAAAGCAAAACAUGCCACCAUUGAAAUGAAAGGGGAAAAGAUAUGGAAAACCAAGCCUAAACACCAAGCCAUCACCAUGACCAAAGCAAAAGAAAGUGUUGAAAUCCAGAAACAGAUUUCUUAAAGCUGGCUUCAUUUCCAAAGUACCAGAGGGCAGGACAAGAAACAAUGGCUGGAAACUGACCAGAGAGAAAAGCAAUCGAGAAUUAAGGAGAAACUUCCUAACAGUGAGGAUAAUUAACCAGUGGAACAGAUUGCCUUCAGAAAUUGUUUUCUACGUCAGCUAACUGCAGGUUAAUGGAAAGAAUGCUUACGAAGAAAGAUUCAGCUAUCUUUGAAUGUUGCACAGCAAAAAUUCCUGAUGCUUUUUCACAAAUAUGGAUAAAAUCAAAAGGGAUUGGAUAAAUUCAUAUAUGAUAAAGUUAAUACUAUUGGUCAUGCUGGCUAAAUCUUAGCUCCAGGACUGGAAUCAAUUACUGUUUGAAUAUCAGAUGCUGGGGAACAUAAAUGGGAGGGAACAACACUCCAUACAUAGGACAAUUCUGCACUUCCUUGCUACUCUCAGAUACCAACCCCACCACAACAUACAGCGUUGCCAGAUUCUGUGCAGCUGCACUUAAAAUUUGUCAGAAGAUAACCAUUUUUAAGGAGGACUCAGUAUGUCAUUUAGAAUGCUCUGUAUUAUGAUAGAUUUGUUGUGUUUCCCUGUAACCAUUUACAAAUCAUACCCCUUCUUUUAAACUCUUUUUUGAUCUUUAUAUUUAGCUUUUUGUUUCUAAUUUUAUGCCUUUAUGUAUAAUUUUAUGCCUUUUAGUUUCUUGCACCCCACCCGCCUUAUACUGGUCUUUGACUAUAGUAAAAAUUUGAUUUGAUACACAUUGUGAUAUAUCAAUCUGUUUGAAUAGGCCCUGCCAUUAUGAUCCAUCACCUGUAUCCCAAGUGCUCACAGGUAGAGUCAGAUAUGAUGACAUUACAGAGAACUCUUAGAACAACAACUGAUCAUGCAGUAGCUAUUUUUGGAAUCAGGAAGGGUAAGCACUUGCAAAAUUAACUUCUCUUCCUCUAAAAUUUGAAGCUCCAAGCCCAGCAGAGGAAGUCCCUGCUGGCUGCCACUCUAACCUCAAUAAGUUCUGGCUUGAGCAAGAGUAGAAAAUGUAAAUAGCUACAAUUCAGGAGUAGUCAACCUUGGCUCUUUUAUGACUCCUGGACUUCAACUCCCAGAAUUCCUGAGCCAGCUGUGCUAGCUCAGGAAUUCUGGUAGUUGAAGUCCACGAGUCAUAAAAGAGCUACGGUUGACUAUCCCUGAGCUACAUCUUAGAGGUACUAAAUAGAUUUCUAGUCAUAUUGAGUCUGACCUUAAAAAAAAAAACCCGUUCUGAUUCAUUUCCUCAACCUGCCCAUGAAUGUUUAGUAUCUCUUUUACCAAUGAGAUUGGGAUGCUCACAAGGAAGGGGCUAUUAAUUAAUUAGCCUCUCAUACAAAUGCAGUAGGCUUCAUCUUCCCAUUAGUAAUAAGAAUUAACGCAUUACUGUUUGAAGCAUUCCACAUUUACUCAAUUUCUUUUGGAGAAGAGUCCAACUGCAGGGACCAAAUUUGAAAGGAAGAAGAUGAAUGAAAUAUUUUUUUUAUUUGAAUAAUGCUGAAUCUUGUCCCAUAUCAGAUAUUCAACUUUUAGAGUAUGAACGAAACGGUGAGAGAUACAAGAAAGAAACUUCAACCCUGACUUGAGUUUAUGUAUGAAUCUGCAUGUUUAUGCGUAUUUAAAUAAUUUUAUGUAGAUAUGUUCAUUCUGUCUGCAUUAUUUAUAUGUUAUUACAACUGGUAAUAUCACUGAACAGUACUGACCACCAAUCAUCUGUGAAGUUUACUGCAUGUACUAAUGGCUCUAAUUUUUAAAUUACUCUAAAUAUUGUAUUGUUUUUACAGACAUAGGAAAGAGCUGGUGAAAGCAGUAAAAAUAUUUACCUGAAAAUAGUUUUAAGUCAAAAGAAAUUCUUUAUAUUAUUUUUAUUUAUUUAUUAGAUUUUUACCUGGCCUUUGUUACUUUUUAGUAAUUCAAGGCCGUGUACAUACCUAAUAUUCCUUCCUUCUUCUAUUUUCCUUAUAGCAGCAACCCUGUAAGGUGAUUUUGGACUGAGAAAGGCUGGCCCAAGUUCACCCUGCUGGCUUUCAUGCCUAAGGCAGGACUAGAACUCGCAGCUAGCCACAACAUUUGCCUCAAAAAAACAAAAACAAAACCCUUCGGUGGAUUCUUCUUUUUAAUUUAAUGGCUAAUGUAGAUGAUUAUGGUGUUUUAUGAUAGUGUACUUUUUGGCUAUGAUCUUGCAAUAAACUCAUUAAAAAUCAA